rnacentral:sRNA from 1 species
UUUAUAGCCUUCCAGCCUUCCCCCUUGCUUUGAUCAACUAGCUCAUACAAUUCAUGUAAAGUUGUUUUGUGGCAUGAAUGUUUGGCCAUGCCAAGAAAGACAUAGAACACAGUGGGUUACUAUGGGAUUCCUAGGUAGAUUUGAAACAUGUUAAUUGUAUUAAAACAUAGAGAAAAAAUGUUACACUGCAGUGGAAAGUCCUAUGAGUGUUAUUGGGCCUCGUUUAAACAUCACAUGAAAAGCUUUUUGUAAUACUUCUAUAUUUGCUCUGUCUUUAAUCUUCUAAUGUUCAAUGUACCUGAAAUCAUGUAUGUAUUCUUAGUUUGUGUCUUUACUUUUGAAUGCUUUCUUCUUUGUCACAUGUGCAUAGUAAUUAUUUUAAAAGCUGGCCUAAUUUGAUAUAUAUACUAAAACAUGGAAAGUGGGCGUCUUUAUUUUCUCAUUCAAACUUCUAAACAUUGCUUUUUAUUUUUUUGCUAAUAUGCAUAUUUUCCCAUUGAAAUAAUUUUGCAGUAACCAGCAUUUAAAUGCAGUGCAAAAUACUGAUGAAGUAAAAAAGCAAAAAUCUCUCAAUAAUGGAUAAACUGAAAUCAUUCUUUCUAAAAAUGAUUAGGACCUUCGGGAGAAAAACUGGGAAGCAAUGGAAGCAUUGGCAUCAACUGAAAAAAUGCUGCAGGACAAAGUGAACAAGACUUCCAAGGAAAGACAGCAAGAGGUGGAAGCUGUUGAGUUGGAGGCUAAAGAAGUUCUCAAAAAAUUAUUUCCAAAGGUGUCUGUCCCUUCUGAUUUGAGUUACAGUGAAUGGUUGCAUGGAUUUGAAAAAAAGGCAAAAGAAUGUAUGGCUGGAACUUCAGGGUCAGAGGAGGUUAAGGUUCUAGAGCACAAGUUAAAAGAAGCUGAUGAAAUGCACACAUUGUUACAGCUUGAGUGUGAAAAAUACAAAUCCGUCCUUGCAGAAACAGAAGGAAUUUUACAGAAGCUACAGAGGAGUGUUGAGCAAGAAGAAAAUAAAUGGAAAGUUAAGGUCGAUGAAUCACACAAGACUAUUAAACAGAUGCAGUCAUCAUUUACAUCUUCAGAACAAGAGCUAGAGCGAUUAAGAAGAGAAAAUAAGGAUAUUGAAAAUCUGAGAAGAGAACGAGAACAUUUGGAAAUGGAACUAGAAAAGGCAGAGAUGGAACGAUCUACCUAUGUUACAGAAGUCAGAGAGUUGAAGGCACAGUUAAAUGAAACACUCACAAAACUUAGAACUGAACAAAAUGAAAGACAGAAGGUAGCUGGUGAUUUGCAUAAGGCUCAACAGUCACUGGAGCUUAUCCAGUCAAAAAUAGUAAAAGCUGCUGGAGACACUACUGUUAUUGAAAAUAGUGAUGUUUCCCCAGAAACGGAGUCUUCUGAGAAGGAGACAAUGUCUGUAAGUCUAAAUCAGACUGUAACACAGUUACAGCAGUUGCUUCAGGCAGUAAACCAACAGCUCACAAAAGAGAAAGAGCACUACCAGGUGUUAGAGUGAAGUAAUUGGGAAACUGUUCAUUUGAGGAUAAAAAAGGCAUUGUAUUAUAUUUUGCCAAAUUAAAGCCUUAUUUAUGUUUUCACCCUUUCUACUUUGUCAGAAACACUGAACAGAGUUUUGUCUUUUCUAAUCCUUGUUAGACUACUGAUUUAAAGAAAGAAAAAAAAAAGCCAACUCUGUAGACACCUUCAGAGUUUAGUUUUAUAAUAAAAACUGUUUGAAUAAUUAGACCUUUACAUUCCUGAAGAUAAACAUGUAAUCUUUUAUCUUAUUUUGCUCAAUAAAAUUGUUCAGAAGAUCAAAGUGGUAAAGACAAUGUAAAAUUUAACAUUUUAAUACUGAUGUUGAACACUGUUUUACUUAACAUUUUGGGAAGUAACUGCCUCUGACUUCAACUCAAGAAAACACUUUUUUGUUGCUAAUGUAAUCGGUUUUUGUAAUGGCGUCAGCAAAUAAAAGGAUGCUUAUUAUUC